GUCNUGGACAGGUAGUGAGCGGAGGAGCAUAUCAAUAAGCGGAGUCUUGGUCAUUUAGAGGAAGUAAAAGUCGUAACAAGGUUUCCGUAGGUGAACCUGCGGAAGGAUCAUUACCGAGUUUAGCCGGGGCCCGAAAGGGUCCCGUACGGCUAUUCCCACCCUAUGUGUACCUACCUCUGUUGCUUUGGCGGGCCGCGGUCCUCCGCGGCCGGCCCCCUCACCGGGGCUGGCCUGCGCCCGCCAGAGGACCAACAAACUCCAGUCAGUAAACGUAGCAGUCUGAUAUAAAAAGUUAAUAAACUAAAACUUUCAACAACGGAUCUCUUGGUUCUGGCAUCGAUGAAGAACGCAGCGAAAUGCGAUAAGUAAUGUGAAUUGCAGAAUUCAGUGAAUCAUCGAAUCUUUGAACGCACAUUGCGCCCCUUGGUAUUCCGAGGGGCAUGCCUGUUCGAGCGUCAUUACAACCCUCAAGCUCUGCUUGGUAUUGGGCGCCGUCCUUCACCGGACGCGCCUCAAAGACCUCGGCGGUGGCGUCUUGCCUCAAGCGUAGUAGAAAACACCUCGCUUUGGAGCGCAGGGCGUUCGCCCGCCGGACGAACCUUCUGAACUUUUCUCAAGGUUGACCUCGGAUCAGGUAGGGAUACCCGCUGAACUUAAGCAUAUCAAUAGCCGGAGGAACUUGGUCAUUUGGGGGGGGUAGGGGAGGAGCAUGUGAGUAGGGGGCGGGUCAUGG
rnacentral:rRNA from 1 species